GCCAGCGCUUGGCAAUUUCGGGAGGCAGCAACACAAUAAGAAACAAAGUGCUGGGAGGAAACUUCCACAUCCUCCCUUGGCAGCCGCUGCACUGAGCUUAUCAGCGCCGUCAGACCGGGGCACUUUCUCCCAUGCCAAACCUCAGCCCCACACCAGGAGGGAAAAGACUUAGACAGCACAGAUCCUCCAGAGGUAGCAAAAAGCAGCCAGGACUCUUCUCUUUGUUAGCUGGUACCAAAUCCCAGAACUUCAGUUGUGCCAUCAGUGGCUUCUGCCAGCCCAAAGUCGCUGGCUCAGCUUCAGGUAUCAUCAAGCGCUGGUAACUCGGAGCAAGGUGUGGGUUAGCUGAACUGAAGCCCUGGGAAGAGCAGCACGUGGCAGCUGCAGGAAUUAGCAGCACAUUUGACUUUUCUCCUCCAGUACUCAGAUCCAACAUCUAAGCAAUAAGGUAAAUGAGGGGAGGGAAAAAAUCCAAGGUGCUCAAAUGAAUAAUAUCAGAUUUACACCUUCAGGCUGGGUAACACAGGGAGGGAGCUGAGACGUUCCCCUCUGCCUCUCCAUGUUUUCUAGCUACCCACAGCCUCACACAGCAAGUUUAGUUGUCCUUGGAAACAACUUUUGCAAGUCCAUAUCAGCACAGGAAGAUAAGGAACUGAGCUGAAUAGACACCAAACCUGCUAUAAAUGGCAAUUCACUCCUACAACCAUAACUGCGGAUUCAGGAAGCCAAGCUGUUGCUGCUCAGCUUUUAUUGCUUCACAGACAGGCACGGAAGGAGCUGACAUGCAAAGUGGCUCUUUCCUCGGGGACGUGUUGGUAUCUGGCUGCCUGGUUUUGUAACGGAGCUGGUAAAGUCAUUUACAGGGCAUCCAAGCGGCAGCAUUUGCACCUCAAUUUCCAUCAAAGGAUCCAGCUGAACCCACAGAGGAUCACAAGCCUGGAUCUGGCCUCUUGCUGCCGCAUCUCAGAGCAUGAGCAUCUUGAGCUGCUCUGGUGAUGGUUUUCCUCUUGGCUGUUAACAAGCGUAAAACCUCCGCUCGGCUGGCUGCUGGUGCCAGCGCUCUCGCGUGCCCACCUCGGAGAGCUGGAUUCAAUCAAAAAGAUGUCCAAUUUCUGCACCGACACAGCCAUGACAAAUUGAUUUACGGGAGGAGAGUGCUCAGUGCAAGAAGCAUAUGGGGAUUACGCUGAGCCUGGUCCUUGUUUUGGACAGGAGUGAGUUAUGGUGGAGUGUCAUCCUGCGCACUUCAGCCUUUACUGUGCUGCUUGCUGCUUUUCGGGGUUUCAUUCAGAGACCUGGGCACUGGAGGACAAACGCGUCUGCUGCAGCACAACCUGGAUUUAAGUCCUGGCAGUCCUCGGAGGUGAAACCCACAAUCGGUUUCUAGCAGGAAUUAUAGCCUGAUAACUACGGUGUUUUAACAGCCAUCAUCCGGCGUGCUGCUGAAGGCUGUGCUGCAGGGAGGGGAAGAGCAGCAGGUCCCUGCCUCUGCUUCGCAGCAUCCCCUGCAUGAGCACCCGAACCCAACCUGGGCUAGCAGCCCUGGGACACACCAGCAAAAUGCUCUAAGACCUCCACCUACCCCAAAGAGUCUGGGGUGAGGCUUUCCUGGCCUCCAACCCCUGUCGCCAAACGGGCAUGGAGAUGACCAGCUCUUCCACAAGCUGGUUGGAAAGGGCAGCGCCAGCAAACCCGUGCCCACCUGUGAAGCUCGCAGGCAGCUGCUUCCUACACUGCUUUGCCUCCGUACAGGAAAACCAGCCCAGCACUGCUGUGGCCUCCCCUUCCCAGCACAGCUUCCAUCUGCUGGGGGGAAAACGGCCAGAUCUGCUGCUUGCCCCGGCCAGGAAGCCUGGGGAUGUCUGCACCAAGCAUCCGGAGAGCUGCUGUCUUCCUGACACCGUGAUCCGGGCAGCCACUGCCCUAUAUCCCAAAUACUGCUGGCAUAUGGAGAGGUUAACUGCACCCCUGUAACACUGCCUGGUGAUGUGACCUGGUGUCUAGACCUCCUGCAAACCUCGCAGAGGAAAAGAUGACCAGGAUGUGUGGAAACACCCUGGCAGUAUUGGUACGGAAGAUGCAGGAGCUGUGCUGACGCUGGCGGCAGGGUUAAGGCAGCUGCCUUCUGCAUCUGCUGGCUCCACGUGCCUGAAAGGAACUUUGGCAUUCAGCAACGCCACAACCCAACAACCAUUGCCCAGUGGGUUAAUAAGGCUUUGUAACAACUUUCCAGCCGUGCCAUUUCUGACUUAGCUAUGGAUUAUUAUCAAUGAGUGGAAAGUAUAUACACAACCUAUUUUCU